rnacentral:rRNA from 1 species
GACGACCCGUGCGAACGUUGUUCGGAAUCACUGGGCUUAAAGGGAGCGUAGGCGGGCUGUCCAGUCUGGGGUGAAAUUCCACGGCUCAACCGUGGAACUGCCUCAGAUACUGACGCACUCGAGGGAGGUAGGGGCGAGCGGAACUGUGGGUGGAGCGGUGAAAUGCGUUGAUAUCCACAGGCACUCCGGUGGCGAAGGCGGGUCCCUGGACCUCCACUGACGCUGAGGCACGAAACCUAGGGGAGCAAACGGC